ACGGAGGGUGCAAGCGUUAUCCGGAUUUACUGGGUUUAAAGGGUGCGUAGGCGGGCAGGUAAGUCAGUGGUGAAAUCCCCGAGCUUAACUCGGGAACUGCCGUUGAUACUAUCUGUCUUGAAUAUCGUGGAGGUAAGCGGAAUAUGUCAUGUAGCGGUGAAAUGCUUAGAUAUGACAUAGAACACCAAUUGCGAAGGCAGCUUGCUACACUAUUAUUGACGCUGAGGCACGAAAGCGUGGGGAUCAAACAGG
rnacentral:rRNA from 1 species